rnacentral:snRNA from 1 species
GCGCUUGCUUCAGCAGCACAUAUACUGAAAUUGGAACAACACAGAGAAGAUUAGUGAGGAGGACGUGCAAAUUCGUGAAGAGUUCCAUAUUUUA